rnacentral:tRNA from 1 species
GUUGUGGCUCAGAGGUAGAGUGCUCGCCUGGCAUGCGUGGGGCACUGGGUUCGAUUCUCAGCAUCACA